rnacentral:tRNA from 1 species
AAUAUAGUGCCUGAUUAAAAGGAUAACUUUGAUAGAGUUAAUCAUGUGAUUUAUUCACCUAUAUUA